AUUUAGCCUUAAGCACAACUCCAUUUCCCGAUCUGCCUUGCUUUUCCUGCACAGACAUUUUCCAGUCCGUUUUGGUACGCCCCCGGCAUUGGCAAUUCAUGCGAAACAUUUUGCAUGCUCAAAAGUUGCAUUUUUGCUCAAUAAAAUCGCAAUAAAGGCGAUGGAGGGGAUAAACUGGACAUGCGAAUCGUUUCGGAGUCCGAUAUCCUUUGUUAUUCUGCUAGGCAAAACAUUUGCUCAGGGGAUGUGCCAGGAUACGGGUAUUCUCGUUCAUACGGCAUGAGCAAUUGAUUCGCAGGCACUCGAACGGAUGAUCGAAUUAGGGCCAAGACCAGGAUCCGGCCGGAGGACCAAGGACCUGGAAACCGGCAGGCAAGUACUAAGGACUUUGCAUGGCCAGCUGUCCGGCUGCCACUUUGGCUGCCCUCUUGAGUGACAAAUUAGCCACUUUGGGGCUUGUAAUUCCCGCCGUCGGAGGCGACAACAAGAAAUGACCGCAAUUUGCGCCGGCCGCCGAGUGAUUGGUGAGCCUUUCCAGCGGACAAGGAUCCUGUGCCGCACUCACCUACAAAACGGAAUAAAGAUGCUCCACGCCAACAACAUAGACAGCCAACCAGCCAGCCAAGCAGGCAAUGACAGUUAUAAAUAGCCAAGUAAAAUUGUCAAGGGGCAGAAGGUGACAGACGGAAAUUACACAAAAAAAAAAAAAUUAAAAUAAAAGUGUAUGCAUUAAUUCAGAAACAGAAAGUAAAAUGCCAGGAACUCAUGUUUAUCAGUUUUAAAUUAUACGAAAAGCACUGCGAUUGGCAAUGUAGAACAUAACAAUUAGCGGUUUAUUUUAAGUAAUCAGUGAACAGUGGCGUCAGCAGAACACGAUUUUUGCUCUUGUUGUUUGCUUCUUUCGCCGCACACAAAACUUCCAGUUUAUUCAAAGUUACAGGACACGCUGUCCCGGCAACCAGGACAUAUUCGCCAUGGCAACAUGGUCCCGUCGUCCUCGCUGCACUGUCAGCAUCAUUAUGGCUAAUAAACAUUGCCAUUUGCGGCUGGCCAACACAGCGAGAUUCAAAGGGAGAGGACGAGUGCAGGACGAAAGGGUCUUUCGUCACCCCGGGACUCAAACAGAAGAAGAGUCAGUGGAACUGCAAGUGGUUAAAGGUCUCCGAAAGAAACAAAUGAACAACUUCUUAAAGAUAUUAUCUAUGUAAAUCAACUACUGCGCAUUAUUGCAAAUCAUUCAGGUAUCUUAUUACUGUUCCCCUUCUUGUGAUAAUAUUGACAUCUACUUCCCAAUUAAGCCAGUAUUCUAAACCUCAGGACAUGUUUUAUUUUUUCCUACUGCAUCCCAGCUGACUUAUGGAAAAAUUAGAAUAAGGUCAAAGAGUCAAAGGUAUGAAUUCGUCGGCCUGCCACAGGAGCCGGUAAUCAUGGCAGAGCUCCAACUUUCCUGAUGAAUCACUUGCUAAUUUAUCACCUGGAUAUUCGUGACCCUUGUGCAUAUGGAGGCCCAGAGCACUCGCCUUAGUUAUUAUAUUCCAUUCAUGAAACUUGUAUUUGAGUCUUCAUCCUUGCCUUAUGGCCAUGCAUCAAGAGUGUGGACAGACCUGCAAAUUGUUUGUAAAUAAACUGGGCGAGAGCUGGGGCGUAAUGCAUUGAGUAUCUGAACGCAUAAACAUGAGCGCAUAGACAAGAGCAGCUUAAGACCAUGUUUGUGCAUAAACAAAUUAAGUUUCCAAAGGCAAGAGCCCAAAAUGGAAGGAGUAGUCGAAAGCAGCAGCUGAUGCAGCAACUUUCUCUAUGGAUUUCACCUUAUAAGCCCCCUAAAACCUCCCGCUUAUAUACAUAUAUCUUAUAUCUCCCC
ensembl:ncRNA lncRNA:CR43761 long non-coding RNA:CR43761